AAACCAUGGUGUGGGCACUCUGUAAAUCCUUGAACCUUUCCCAGACCUCGAACAAACUCUCAUCUUCUUGUUGAGUAAUAGCAAUGAUUUGGCUCCUCAGACG
rfam:Spinacia oleracea cultivar SynViroflay scaffold1709.con0002.1, whole genome shotgun sequence.